AUCGAACGCUGGCUGCAUGCCUAACACAUGCAAGUCGCACGGCACGGCUUCGGCCGGUCAGUGGCGGACGGGUGAGGAACGCGUAGGGAUCUGUCCUCUGGUGGGGUAUAACCGCGGGAAACUUCGACUAAGACCGCAUGGGGCGCCGGUGUGAGAGCCGGUGUCAAAGGCGCGCAUCGCGAGGUGUGUGUUGCCGGGGUGUGAGCCUGCGUCCGCUUAGCUGGUUGGCGGGGCAGUGGCCCACCAAGGCGUCGAGCGGUAGUUGGUCUGAGAGGUCGUAGUGCAACACUGGGAGUGAGACACGGUGUAGAGUCCUUCGCGAAGGAGCGGUGCGGAAUAUUGGACUAUGGACGCAAGCAUGAUCGAGUCAUGCGGGGUGGGUGAAGUAGGUCUUAGGAUUGUAAAGCCCUUUGGGCGUACACGAUGGUGACGGUACCCGCAGAAUAAGCCCCGGCUAACUUCGUG
rnacentral:rRNA from 1 species